AAGCAUGACGGCGGUCACCAACUUGUCGAACCGGCUGCAGAGUAGGGCAAAUGAGGUGCAGCAGUUAAACUCCCAGCUGGCUCUGCUCCAACGCAUGUAUAAGGAUGCGCGAGCAGAGAUAAGCGUG